UACGAAGGGGGCUAGCGUUGUUCGGAAUUACUGGGCGUAAAGCGCACGUAGGCGGACUAUUAAGUCAGGGGUGAAAUCCUGGAGCUCAACUCCAGAACUGCCUUUGAUACUGAGAAGCUUGAGUCCGGGAGAGGUGAGUGGAACUGCGAGUGUAGAGGUGAAAUUCGUAGAUAUUCGCAAGAACACCAGUGGCGAAGGCGGCUCACUGGCCCGGUACUGACGCUGAGGUGCGAAAGCGUGGGGAGCAAACAGG
rnacentral:rRNA from 1 species